rnacentral:rRNA from 3 species
AAAUUGAAGAGUUUGAUCAUGGCUCAGAUUGAACGCUGGCGGCAGGCCUAACACAUGCAAGUCGAACGGUAACAGGAAGCAGCUUGCUGCUUUGCUGACGAGUGGCGGACGGGUGAGUAAUGUCUGGGAAACUGCCUGAUGGAGGGGGAUAACUACUGGAAACGGUGGCUAAUACCGCAUAACGUCGCAAGACCAAAGAGGGGGACCUUCGGGCCUCUUGCCAUCAGAUGUGCCCAGAUGGGAUUAGCUUGUUGGUGAGGUAACGGCUCACCAAGGCGACGAUCCCUAGCUGGUCUGAGAGGAUGACCAGCCACACUGGAACUGAGACACGGUCCAGACUC